UACGAAGGGGGCUAGCGUUGCUCGGAAUCACUGGGCGUAAAGCGCACGUAGGCGGCUUUCUAAGUCAGGGGUGAAAUCCUGGAGCUCAACUCCAGAACUGCCUUUGAUACUGGAGAGCUUGAGUCCGGAAGAGGUGAGUGGAACUCCGAGUGUAGAGGUGAAAUUCGUAGAUAUUCGGAAGAGCACCAGUGGCCGAAGGCGGCUCACUGGUCCGGUACUGACGCUGGAGGCACGAAAGCGUGGGGAGCAAACAGG
rnacentral:rRNA from 1 species